UAUUGGCGCUGGAUGGUCAGCCUUGAGGGCCACUUCAUAUGUGAGGGGAUCCAGCCCACCUUCUUGAUGGGGCUUGCUGCAUUAUUUUCCACCUUCUACACCUGCACGCUCAAAUUAAUCUCAAGGUGCACCGUAGGAAUAAACCCUGAGAGAGGCACCAAGGAUGGACAGGGCAAAGUCUUCUCAAAGAAAACUGGCAAAUUCACGAACUACAAGACAAGACUACAACCGUAUAUCCACAUGUAUCCACUCUGCUGAUGGGACUCAUGGACUUGAGUGGGACUUCAUUUAAAAUGUCAGCGGGCUACCAAGGCUGGAUUGAGAGAACUGGUGUCUUUGAGUGGGCCAUAAGUCAUUCACUAACUCACUCCCCCAUUAUCGCCCAAUACUUGGACUUCCACACUUAUCCAUGUGCCUUGUUAGAGCCUGAAUAUUCAUACU